UUACGGCCAUAUCACGUUGAAACACCGGUUCUCGUCCGGUCACCGAAGUUAAGCAACAUCAUUAAAUACCUAGAUGGGUGACCGCUUGAGAAUCCCAGGUACUGUAAG